CAGCCGCCACGGUAAUACGUAGGGUGCGAGCGUUAAUCGGAAUUACUGGGCGUAAAGCGUGCGCAGGCGGUUAUAUAAGACAGAUGUGAAAUCCCCGGGCUCAACCUGGGACCUGCAUUUGUGACUGUAUAGCUAGAGUACGGUAGAGGGGGAUGGAAUUCCGCGUGUAGCAGUGAAAUGCGUAGAUAUGCGGAGGAACACCGAUGGCGAAGGCAAUCCCCUGGACCUGUACUGACGCUCAUGCACGAAAGCGUGGGGAGCAAACAGGAUUAGAGACCCCCGUAGUCCCUGUCUCUUAUAC
rnacentral:rRNA from 1 species